AAGAUACUCCCUCCGUUCGGAAUUUCCUAUCUCGGAAAUGGAUGUAUCUAGAUACGUCUAGAUACAUCCAUUUCUGCAACAAGUAGUUCCGAACGGAGGGAGUAUAAG
rfam:Triticum aestivum genome assembly, contig: Triticum_aestivum_CS42_TGACv1_scaffold_031861_1BL